CCGAUGUAGCUCAGCCGGUCAGAGCAGCUGAUUUGUAAUCAGCAGGUCGUGGGUUCGAAUCCCUCCAUCGG
rnacentral:tRNA from 1 species